rnacentral:rRNA from 1 species
AUACGGAGGAUGCGAGCGUUAUCCGGAUUUAUUGGGUUUAAAGGGUGCGUAGGUGGUGAUUUAAGUCAGCGGUGAAAGUUUGUGGCUCAACCAUAAAAUUGCCGUUGAAACUGGGUUACUUGAGUGUGUUUGAGGUAGGCGGAAUGCGUGGUGUAGCGGUGAAAUGCAUAGAUAUCACGCAGAACUCCGAUUGCGAAGGCAGCUUACUAAACCAUAACUGACACUGAAGCACGAAAGCGUGGGGAUCAAACAGGAUUAGAUACCCUGGUAGUCCACGCAGUAAACGAUGAUUACUAGGAGUUUGCGAUACAAUGUAAGCUCUACAGCGAAAGCGUUAAGUAAUCCACCUGGGGAGUACGCCGGCAACGGUGAAACUCAAAGGAAUUGACGGGGGCCCGCACAAGCGGAGGAACAUGUGGUUUAAUUCGAUGAUACGCGAGGAACCUUACCCGGGUUUGAACGUAGUCUAACCGGAGUGGAAACACUCUUUCUAGCAAUAGCAGAUUACGAGGUGCUGCAUGGUUGUCGUCAGCUCGUGCCGUGAGGUGUCGGCUUAAGUGCCAUAACGAGCGCAACCCUUAUCACUAGUUACUAACAGGUGAAGCUGAGGACUCUGGUGAGACUGCCAGCGUAAGCUGUGAGGAAGGUGGGGAUGACGUCAAAUCAGCACGGCCCUUACAUCCGGGGCGACACACGUGUUACAAUGGCAUGGACAAAGGGCAGCUACCUGGUGACAGGAUGCUAAUCUCCAAACCAUGUCUCAGUUCGGAUCGGAGUCUGCAACUCGACUCCGUGAAGCUGGAUUCGCUAGUAAUCGCGCAUCAGCCAUGGCGCGGUGAAUACGUUCCCGGGCCUUGUACACACCGCCCGUCAAGCCAUGGGAGCCGGGGGUACCUGAAGUCCGUAACCGCAAGGAUCGGCCUAGGGUAAAACUGGUGACUGGGGCU